rnacentral:lncRNA from 1 species
UGUCCGUAUCCUCUGACAAGAGAGGUGCACGAAGUAGAGAUUAAUGAAAUUAAGGAAGAAUAUCAUAUCUUUUGAAUGCGGUCUUUCUCUAAUAAGAAAAGCUAAAAUUCUAGAAUCAAAUAGGAAAGAAAAAGAUAAAUUAUCAAUACAAGAACAGACUAUAUUUAAAACAUAGAAGAAGAUGUGAUCAUAUUGGUUAUCCUGAGACUUAAUUUGUUUGCGGAGAAAAUAAGAGUAUCAAAAUAAAUCAGCAACAAAAAAAGAAAAAUAUUUUUUAUGUGAUUAAACUAAGUGU